GGUGCUCGCUUCAGCAGCACAUAUACUAAAAAAAAUUGGAACGAUACAGAGAAGAUUAGCAUGGCCCCUGCUCGAGGGUGACACAAAUUCGUGAAGCGUUCCAUUGAAAG
ensembl:snRNA Gm26203 U6 spliceosomal RNA